GACGAACGCUGGCGGCGUGCUUAACACAUGCAAGUCGAACGGAAAGCCCCUUUCGGGGGGACUCGAGUGGCGAACGGGUGAGUAACACGUGGGUGAUCUGCCCUGCACUUUGGGAUAAGCCUGGGAAACUGGGUCUAAUACCGGAUAGGACUACGCACUGCAUGGUGUGUGGUGGAAAGCUUUUGCGGUGUGGGAUGGGCCCGCGGCCUAUCAGCUUGUUGGUGGGGUGAUGGCCUACCAAGGCGACGACGGGUAGCCGGCCUGAGAGGGUGUCCGGCCACACUGGGACUGAGAUACGGCCCAGACUCCUACGGGAGGCAGCAGUGGGGAAUAUUGCGCAAUGGGCGCAAGCCUGAUGCAGCGACGCCGCGUGAGGGAUGACGGCCUUCGGGUUGUAAACCUCUUUCAGCAUCGACGAAGCGCAAGUGACGGUAGAUGCAGAAGAAGCACCGGCCAACUACGUGCCAGCCGCCGCAGUAAGAC
rnacentral:rRNA from 1 species